rnacentral:lncRNA from 1 species
AGGUGACACUGAUGAUAAAAAUCCAUCCAAGAAUUUAUAUGUGACAUCUGCAGCAGGUUCAAAUCUCUCAGCUAUGAGACAAACUGGAUACUUCCUAAGGAUUGCCAUCUAUUAUGCACAGAGAGCCAAAAUCCGUUACUGAAAUUGUCUGGUGUUUUUUACAAAGGACCCAUUUAGUCGUGAUAUUUAUAGGAUAUGAGGAAGGCAGUGAUCCUGGCAUUCGUGGACUCCAGAAAACAUUUUGGAGAAAAAUUAAUGUAAGGUAUCUCUGCAUUAGCCAGAUUGGACAUAUGUAAAGGGACAUCAGUAUAUCUGGAUCAUCAGAUUGUGCUUCAAGAAGACCAUAGGGAAGAACGCAUUUUCAUCUUGCUGCAAAAGUUGCAAUAGAACCUCCCACAUGCUUAGUGUUCAGUUCUGCCUACUGAGCGUCUUGAAUCUAUAGGAGCAUCUACAUGUACUGCCUCCAUAGUGGCUGAUAAUUUGCAGAUAACUCGUGAACCAGACCCAUAAGAAACAUCAUGAUAUGUACUUUAGAUUAAUCAUGGAAAAGGACAAGAUGAUGAAGAAUCAGAAAGCAGUUUUCUUUUCCAAUAUUUAUAUUGCUUUCUUUGAGGUUAGAUGAGUGAGAUAUUCUUUAGAGUGGUUUAUAUCACAUUUCAUCACUUGGGGAAAUAGGUCAUUUUUACAAGAGCCUUUUAGAGACCUUUUAAGUACAUACAGGGCAUAUAUUUAAUACACCUUAGCAUUUCCUCUGAGUAAGUCAGAGGAAAUAAAGCAAGAUGGUAGAUAUCU